rnacentral:lncRNA from 10 species
CAUUUUAUGCUUAAGAAAAUUUUACUAAGAAAAUAUAAGAACACACAUCUCAUUACAACAUAUCACAACAGAGAAAAAAUAAUUCACAUAAUUCUGAAGUUUUUAGACUGAUUCUUGGAACCAUUUUUAACAAGUCAAUCUGGUAUAAUAUGUUCUAUACAAGGCAUUCCUCUUAAACUAGCAUUCCCAUAAGCAAUUACUACAAGACUACCCAUUCCGUCAUCUUAUCAACACUCAGAUGUGAAAGGCUAAGCAAUGACUUGCAAUACGUGGCUUCCUUGAAGUCAAUAAUUAGUGCUUGGUAUGUUAACAAAGGGAACACAAAAAUAUCAACUGCAAAAGUACGGUUUUAAUUUCAGUUAAAUUUAAAGGUCAUUAGACAAAGUAUAAUAAAACAUUGGGCAGACAUUUUAUAUUGUCAUAUAUUUAGCUAAACUAGGUCUUUUAAGAAAGUUCUUAUUUCAUACACAUUUUUAUAUUACUACUUUCUAAUUAUUCUCACCUUUCAAUGGAAUAUGUGUAUACAAUACAUAGAUAUCACUUAAAAUAUACCUUAUAAUUGAAUUGCAAAUUGACAGGUGGAUUCCUAAAGUGAAUAUUAUAAUAUAUAAGCACAACUGAAAUUUAUUUGCACAGAAGUGUUAACAGUUGUUGAUUCUGUGAAGAUUACCAAAUCAAAAGAUGUUAGUGAAUUGGCUACUGAGACUUUUUGGUGUAAUUUAUUAAAUUCAACACCAAAUCUUUAAUGUUCGUGUCGAAUACUUAAAAUGCUGAAGACUAAAUGAAUAAGACGUUUAUAUUAUAUUUGAAUUAUAAAUGGGAACAAAGUAAAAAUCAGAUGAACUGGUAAAAGACUAAGUGAGGCCGGGCGCGGUGGCUCACCAGAGCUGACCCCAUUUUGGUGAAUUCAACAGAACCCUGGAGAUUUUUUUUUUUUUUUUUUUUUUUUUUUUUUUUUUUUUGAGAUGGAGGCUCACUCUGUCGCCCAGGCUGGAGUGCAGCGGUGCGAUCUCAGCUCACUGCAACCUCCACCUCCCGGGUUCACUCCUCAGACUCCCG